CCUACGGGAGGCAGCUGUGGGGAAUAUUGCACAAUGGGGGAAACCCUGAUGCAGCGACGCCGCGUGAGUGAAGAAGUAAUUCGUUAUGUAAAGCUCUAUCAGCAGGGAAGAAAAUGACGGUACCUGAGUAAGAAGCCCCGGCUAACUACGUGCCAGCAGCCGCGGUAAUACGUAGGGGGCAAGCGUUAUCCGGAUUUACUGGGUGGAAAGGGAGCGUAGACGGCAGUGCAAGUCUGGAGUGAAAGGCGGGGGCUCAACCCCCGGACUGCUCUGGAAACUGUACGGCUGGAGUGCAGGAGAGGUAAGUGGAAUUCCUAGUGUAGCGGUGAAAUGCGUAGAUAUUAGGAGGAACACCAGUGGCGAAGGCGGCUUACUGGACUGUAACUGACGUUGAGGCUCGAAAGCGUGGGGAGCAAACAGGAUUAGAUACCCUUGUAGUC
rnacentral:rRNA from 1 species